rnacentral:rRNA from 1 species
UACAGAGGUCCCGAGCGUUGUUCGGAUUCAUUGGGCGUAAAGAGUAUGUAGGCGGCUUUGUAAGUCAGUUGUGAAAUCCCCGGGCUUAACCCGGGAAGUGCAAAUGAUACUGCUAAGCUUGAAUUUGGAAGAGGGUAGUGGAAUUCCUGGUGUAGUGGUGAAAUACGUAGAUAUCAGGAGGAACAGCCGGUGGCGAAGGCGGCUACCGUGUCCUAAAUUGACGCUGAGAUACGAAAGCAUGGGGAUCAAACAGG